AACGAACGCUGGCGGCAUGCCUAACACAUGCCAGUCGAACGAGACCUUCGGGUCUAGUGGCGCACGGGUGCGUAACGCGUGGGAAUCUGCCCUUGGGUUCGGAAUAACAGUUGGAAACGACUGCUAAUACCGGAUGAUGACGUAAGUCCAAAGAUUUAUCGCCCAAGGAUGAGCCCGCGUAGGAUUAGCUAGUUGGUGAGGUAAAGGCUCACCAAGGCGACGAUCCUUAGCUGGUCUGAGAGGAUGAUCAGCCACACUGGGACUGAGACACGGCCCAGACUCGUACGGGAGGCAGGAGUGGGGAAUAUUGGACAAGGGGCGAAAGCCUGAUCAAGCAAUGCCGGGGGAGUGAUGAAGGCGUUAGGGUUGUAAAGCUCUUUUAGCCGGGAUGAUAAUGACAGUACCGGGAGAAUAAGCGCCGGCUAACUCCGUG
rnacentral:rRNA from 1 species